rnacentral:rRNA from 1 species
GACAGAGGGUGCAAACGUUGUUCGGAAUUACUGGGCGUAAAGCGCGUGUAGGCGGCCCGGAAGGUCGGAUGUGAAAGCCCUGGGCUUAACCUAGGAAGUGCAUUCGAAACUGCUGGGCUUGAGUUCUGGAGAGGAAGGCGGAAUUCUCGGUGUAGAGGUGAAAUUCGUAGAUAUCGAGAGGAACACCGGUGGCGAAGGCGGCCUUCUGGACAGUGACUGACGCUGAGACGCGAAAGCGUGGGGAGCAAACAGG